GACGAACGCUGGCGGCGUGCUUAACACAUGCAAGUCGAACGGAAAGGCCCUGCUUUUGUGGGGUGCUCGAGUGGCGAACGGGUGAGUAACACGUGAGUAACCUGCCCUUGACUUUGGGAUAACUUCAGGAAACUGGGGCUAAUACCGGAUAGGAGCUCCUGCUGCAUGGUGGGGGUUGGAAAGUUUCGGCGGUUGGGGAUGGACUCGCGGCUUAUCAGCUUGUUGGUGGGGUAGUGGCGUACCAAGGCUUUGACGGGUAGCCGGGCUGAGAGGGUGACCGGCCACAUUGGGACUGAGAUACGGCCCAGACUCCUACGGGAGGCAGCAGUGGGGAAUAUUGCACAAUGGGCGGAAGCCUGAUGCAGCAACGCCGCGUGCGGGAUGACGGCCUUCGGGUUGUAAACCGCUUUCGCCUGUGACGAAGCGUGAGUGACGGUAAUGGGUAAAGAAGCACCGGCUAACUACGUG
rnacentral:rRNA from 1 species